AUAUAUGACUGACUCUCUCUCUCCUUGGCUUUUCAUUUCCUACCUUGACUGACUCUCUCUCUCUCUCUCUCAUCGUAACCUUGUGGGCAGCCAUGGCUGGGUCUUACUUUCGCUGGUUCAAGAAUAACGAAGGAAACGCCAAUGACCAAAACAGAGGAGAGGAAAAUGCAAUUCCAGAACCAAGCAGAGGAGAAAAGGAGAAAAAUGGAAACUUGGAGAAAAAUAGCUUGAAAUGCUAGAAAACUGAUUUGGCCGAAGCGAUUUGACCAAAUCAAGCCUCAAAGAAUGCCAAAGGCAGCUACAAGAAGAGGAAGCUAACCUACAAGACUUGAUAUGCCUAUGUUGAUUUGCCCGGAUCGUUGGCCAAAUCACCUUAAGAAAAGUUGAAACUGAAACCCGGAGGAAACACGCAGAAAUGAUUUGGGCGAGGGAUUUGCUCAAAUCACUGUCUAAAUCAACGGUCCUCAGCAAGAAAAUACAGAAGCACGGAAAAGCAAAAAUCCAAAGAUUCAAACGUCUUAGAGUCCUAUCCUACUUCAAAUACACCAAGACCAAUCCUAUGACACCACAUAAACUGCACCAAAAGGAGUCCUACACCAAAUGAGAUCUAUUCAUGCUAGAAUAUAAGAUAAAGAAGAAAUAAAAAAAAGACCAUCAAAGACCAAGUCUAAAUAAGAUUCCAACUCCAAGAAGGAUUAAGACUUCUCACCUAUAAAAAAGGGCAGCAACCAACAGCAAAAAAAUAUCAGAAUUUUGGGCAGAAGCUUCGACAACACCUCUCGCUCUCAUUUUCUUCUUCUUUUUCUCUUUUAUGUGUUCUUUAUCCACCAUGAGUGGCUAAAAACUUUUAUCUCUAGUUGAAGUUGGAGAAAUUUCAGUUUGUUAUGAAUUGGGAGAUUUGAAACUC